UACGUAGGGUGCAAGCGUUGUCCGGAAUUAUUGGGCGUAAAGAGCUCGUAGGCGGCUUGUCGCGUCGGCUGUGAAAACUCGGGGCUCAACCCCGAGCCUGCAGUCGAUACGGGCAGGCUAGAGUCCAGCAGGGGAGACUGGAAUUCCUGGUGUAGCGGUGAAAUGCGCAGAUAUCAGGAAGAACACCUAUGGCGAAAGCAGCUCUCUGGGACGGUACUGACGCUGAGACGCGAAAGCGUGGGGAGCGAACAGG
rnacentral:rRNA from 1 species